rnacentral:rRNA from 1 species
GAUGAACGCUGGCGGCGUGCUUAACACAUGUAAGUCGAACGGAAAGGCCACAGCUUGCUGUGGUACUCGAGUGGCGAACGGGUGAGUAACACGUGGGUGAUCUGCCCUGUACUUCGGGAUAAGCUUGGGAAACUGGGUCUAAUACCGGAUAGGAAUCACAUGUGGGUGUGUGGUUGGAAAGCUUUUGCGGUAUGGGAUGAGCUCGCGGCCUAUCAGCUUGUUGGUGGGGUAAUGGCCUACCAAGGCGUCGACGGGUAGCCGGCCUGAGAGGGUGUACGGCCACAUUGGGACUGAGAUACGGCCCAGACUCCUACGGGAGGCAGCAGUAGGGAAUAUUGCACAAUGGGCGCAAGCCUGAUGCAGCGACGCCGCGUGGGGGAUGACGGCCUUCGGGUUGUAAACUCCUUUCGUCAGGGACGAAGCGAAAGUGACGGUACCUGGAUAAGAAGCACCGGCUAACUACGUG